UAACACAUGCAAGUCGAACGGUACAGGAAGAAGCUUGCUUCUUUGCUGACGAGUGGCGGACGGGUGAGUAAUGUCUGGGAAACUGCCUGAUGGAGGGGGAUAACUACUGGAAACGGUAGCUAAUACCGCAUAACGUCGCAAGACCAAAGAGGGGGACCUUCGGGCCUCUUGCCAUCGGAUGUGCCCAGAUGGGAUUAGCUAGUAGGUGGGGUAACGGCUCACCUAGGCGACGAUCCCUAGCUGGUCUGAGAGGAUGACCAGCCACACUGGAACUGAGACACGGUCCAGACUCCUACGGGAGGCAGCAGUGGGGAAUAUUGCACAAUGGGCGCAAGCCUGAUGCAGCCAUGCCGCGUGUAUGAAGAAGGCCUUCGGGUUGUAAAGUACUUUCAGCGGGGAGGAAGGGAGUAAAGUUAAUACCUUUGCUCAUUGACGUUACCCGCAGAAGAAGCACCGGCUAACUCCGUGCCAGCAGCCGCGGUAAUACGGAGGGUGCAAGCGUUAAUCGGAAUUACUGGGCGUAAAGCGCACGCAGGCGGUUUGUUAAGUCAGAUGUGAAAUCCCCGGGCUCAACCUGGGAACUGCAUCUGAUACUGGCAAGCUUGAGUCUCGUAGAGGGGGGUAGAAUUCCAGGUGUAGCGGUGAAAUGCGUAGAGAUCUGGAGGAAUACCGGUGGCGAAGGCGGCCCCCUGGACGAAGACUGA
rnacentral:rRNA from 1 species